UUUCCGUAGGUGAACCUGCGGAAGGAUCAUUAACGAGCCAGCCCGUGAUGUUGCGGGUCAACCGCCUCUCACGGGCUACCGCCCCAACCGUGCCUACCUUUACCUGUUGCCUCGGCGGACCGCACCGUCCGCGGUGCGGCCGGCCAACACGGCCGGCCAGCGUCCGCCAGAGGAAACCAAAACCUCGACCUUCAUGUGAACGUCUGAGUAACUACUGCAAAUAGUUUAAAACUUUCAACAACGGAUCUCUUGGUUCCA
rnacentral:misc_RNA from 1 species